GACGAACGCUGGCGGCGUGCUUAACACAUGCAAGUCGAACGAUGAUGCCCAGCUUGCUGGGCGGAUUAGUGGCGAACGGGUGAGUAACACGUGAGUAACCUGCCCUUGACUUCGGGAUAACUCCGGGAAACCGGGGCUAAUACCGGAUAUGAGCCGUCCUCGCAUGGGGGUGGUUGGAAAGUUUUUCGGUCAGGGAUGGGCUCGCGGCCUAUCAGCUUGUUGGUGGGGUGAUGGCCUACCAAGGCGACGACGGGUAGCCGGCCUGAGAGGGCGACCGGCCACACUGGGACUGAGACACGGCCCAGACUCCUACGGGAGGCAGCAGUGGGGAAUAUUGCACAAUGGGCGAAAGCCUGAUGCAGCGACGCCGCGUGAGGGAUGAAGGCCUUCGGGUUGUAAACCUCUUUCAGCAGGGAAGAAGCGCAAGUGACGGUACAUGCAGAAGAAGCGCCGGCUAACUACGUGCCAGCAGCCGCGGUAAUACGUAGGGCGCAAGCGUUGUCCGGAAUUAUUGGGCGUAAAGAGCUCGUAGGCGGUUUGUCGCGUCUGGUGUGAAAACUCGAGGCUCAACCUCGAGCUUGCAUCGGGUACGGGCAGACUAGAGUGCGGUAGGGGAGACUGGAAUUCCUGGUGUAGCGGUGGAAUGCGCAGAUAUCAGGAGGAACACCGAUGGCGAAGGCAGGUCUCUGGGCCGCAACUGACGCUGAGGAGCGAAAGCAUGGGGAGCGAACAGG
rnacentral:rRNA from 1 species